rnacentral:rRNA from 1 species
UCCUGGCUCAGAUUGAACGCUGGCGGCAUGCUUUACACAUGCAAGUCGAACGGCAGCACGGGUGCUUGCACCUGGUGGCGAGUGGCGGACGGGUGAGUAAUACAUCGGAACGUAUCCUAAAGUGGGGGAUAACGCAUCGAAAGAUGUGCUAAUACCGCAUACACUCUGAGGAGGAAAGUAGGGGAUCGAAAGACCUUAUGCUUUUGGAGCGGCCGAUGUCUGAUUAGCUAGUUGGUAAGGUAAUGGCUUACCAAGGCAACGAUCAGUACUUGGUCUGAGAGGACGACCAGCCACACUGGGACUGAGACACGGCCCAGACUCCUACGGGAGGCAGCAGUGGGGAAUUUUGGACAAUGGGCGCAAGCCUGAUCCAGCAAUGCCGCGUGAGUGAAGAAGGCCU